CUUCACAUAGCUCAGUUGGCAGAGCAUUAGGCUAGUAUCCAAAUGUCGUAGGUUCGAUUCCCACCAUGACGA
rnacentral:tRNA from 1 species